GAAAUGCGAUAAUUAAUGUGAAUUGCAGAAUUCAGUGAAUCAUCGAGUCUUUGAACGCACAUUGCGCCCCCUGGUAUUUCGGGGGGCAUGCCUGUCCGAGCGUCAUUGCUGCCCUCAAGCACGGCUUGUGUGUUGGGCUUCCGUCCCUGGCAACGGGGACGGGCCCAAAAGGCAGUGGCGGCACCAUGUCUGGUCCUCGAGCGUAUGGGGCUUUGUCACCCGCUCCCGUAGGUCCAGCUGGCAGCUAGCCUCGCAACCAAUCUUUUUAACCAGGUUGACCUCGGAUCAGGUAGGGAUACCCGCUGAACUUAAGC
rnacentral:misc_RNA from 1 species